GUUGAACGCUGACGGCAUGCUUAACACAGAAUGACGGUUUGGGUGACGGACGGGUGAGUAACGCGUAACGAACUAACUUCACAGGUAGGGAGAACAACUGGAAACGAAUGCUACUAAUUCAUACUGUGAGAGAGAUUUGCGUCACAUUAGCUAGUAGGAGAGGUAACGGCUCACCAAGGCGAUGAUGGGUAGCCGGCCUGAGAGGGUGAUCGGCCACAAGGGGACUGGGACACGGCCCUUACGCCUACGUGAGGCAGGAGUGGGGAACAUUUGAAAAUGUACCACAGUAUGAUCCAGCAAUUCGGGGUGCAAGAUAAAGUUUUCGGAAUGUAAAGUGCGUGCAGUUGGGAAGCGGUACCAACAGAAGAAGUGACGGCUAAAUCCGUGCCAGCAGCCGCGGUAAUAC
rnacentral:rRNA from 1 species